GGAUUAGAUACCCUGGUAGUCCACGCCGUAAACUAUGAUCACUCGCUGUUGGCAAUACAUCGUCAGCGGCCAAGCGAAAGCAUUAAGUGAUCCACCUGGGGAGUACGUUCGCAAGAAUGAAACUCAAAGGAAUUGACGGGGGCCCGCACAAGCGGUGGAACAUGUGGUUUAAUUCGAUGAUACGCGAGGAACCUUACCUGGGCUUAAAUGUAGAAUGACUUUGCUCGAAAGAGCUUUUUCCUUCGGGACAUUUUACAAGGUGCUGCAUGGUUGUCGUCAGCUCGUGCCG
rnacentral:rRNA from 1 species